rnacentral:misc_RNA from 1 species
CCUCCUUACCAUUACGUCGAAAGACGCACUUGAUGCAGUGCCUACACAGAUUGUUUUGUUCGUAAAUGAACAAACUUGGAUGCUUACGAUACUCCUGAGAGUACUGUGAGUCCUCCUUGCGCAAAAGUCAUGACAAAAAGCGUCAUGAUUUUGCACGGUAGUUCUUUAACAAUUUGGAAAGCUGAUAUUAAUAGUAAUCAAUCAAAAUUGAGUAACUGAGAAGUCGAAAGACGUACUUUUUACUCUACUUGACUUGAAUUGCUUGUUAUCAACAUUGAUUGAUAGCAAGGCAAUUCUUCCGAUUAGCUUGUCAUGCAUACAACAUUACCCUUGUCCGAUUUCA